rnacentral:rRNA from 1 species
GACCUUGAAAUACCACCCUUUAAUGUUUGAUGUUCUAACGUUGACCCGUAAUCCGGGUUGCGGACAGUGUCUGGUGGGUAGUUUGACUGGGGCGGUCUCCUCCUAAAGAGUAACGGAGGAGCACGAAGGUUGGCUAAUCCUGGUCGGACAUCAGGAGGUUAGUGCAAUGGCAUAAGCCAGCUUGACUGCGAGCGUGACGGCGCGAGCAGGUGCGAAAGCAGGUCAUAGUGAUCCGGUGGUUCUGAAUGGAAGGGCCAUCGCUCAACGGAUAAAAGGUACUCCGGGGAUAACAGGCUGAUACCGCCCAAGAGUUCAUAUCGACGGCGGUGUUUGGCACCUCGAUGUCGGCUCAUCACAUCCUGGGGCUGAAGUAGGUCCCAAGGGUAUGGCUGUUCGCCAUUUAAAGUGGUACGCGAGCUGGGUUUAGAACGUCGUGAGACAGUUCGGUCCCUAUCUGCCGUGGGCGCUGGAGAACUGAGGGGGGCUGCUCCUAGUACGAGAGGACCGGAGUGGACGCAUCACUGGUGUUCGGGUUGUCAUGCCAAUGGCACUGCCCGGUAGCUAAAUGCGGAAGAGAUAAGUGCUGAAAGCAUCUAAGCACGAAACUUGCCCCGAGAUGAGUUCUCCCUGACUCCUUGAGAGUCCUGAAGGAACGUUGAAG